CCUUUCUUUCCCACAUCCAUCCAUCUCCUCGCUGUCUCGCCCGACGGAGAGAGAGAGAGAGAUGCCUCCUCCCUUCCAGAUCGCCGCUGGCACCUCCCUCCGGCGGAGCUGGCCGCCAUCCAUGGCCUCCCGCACGCCCUACUCCUCUCCCCUCCCCUUCCCCCACCCAACCAAACCGCACGUCCUUGGCCACAUCCCCGCUCGAUCUCGUCGGGAACGAGGCCUCCUGCAACCACCGGCCUUCAUCGAUCCAACCAUCCAUCCAUGCCCGCAGCAGCACUCCAGCCGCUUGUGCUCCUUCCCCAGCAGCGCACCCCGGCGCCUCCUCGUCCCCACACAGCCCGCGAGGCACCGGCCUCCUCUGCUUCGCGCCUCCCGAGCACCGACCAGGAGCCCGAGCUCCAUCUUCUACGCCCGCGUCUGAGCGAGAGGAGCUCACUGCUCGAGCAUGCACAAGACCCAUGGCGCCCUCCCGAGCUCCUCCCGUGCGUGCCUCCACUCGUUCUCGUCUCCCUCCGUCUUCAUCGCAGCACCAUAGGACCAAUAGCUCCACCGCGCGUGCCCGUCGGCGGCAAGAGUCCCAGGCCAGUGAGCCAAGCCUCUCCCUUGCCUUCUCCAUUUCCCGUGCUCCCUUUCUUCUCUUCCCUCGCUAACCUCCGGCUCUCUCUGUCCUUUUCUCGGUAUGACAGCCAACGCCAUGGACAGAGUCUGUCCAGGAUCUCGCUGCUCGGACCCGCUUCCUCUGGCCACCGAAGCCUCUGACCAGCCUCGUCGCAUGGACCUCCUCCCCCACCUGGCAAAUCCGUCCUCUCCUGCCCGUUGACCAUUGCCGCCGGAGCCGUAUAUCGCCCCUCACUGGACCAGUUUGAUGGAGUUCCCAAAAUGCCCGACUCCAACGGCAAUGACAUGCACCACGAGGAGGAUGAUGGCCUCUUCACCUACUCCGACCCCAUCCUCCCCGACGCCUGGUCGUAGCCCUGUACAUAAGUCAGAAUUCGGCCAUGGCGGAUCUGCAGACGCCGCUGGUGCGACCAAAGAGGAAGAAGGUUCUGGUGGACUACCUGCUAAGGUUUGCUUAGCUCGUGCGGAUGGGAGACAGAUGCCCGCACGGAUCCGGUGUCUCCGACCUCGGCAUCCACAAGGAGGAGCAGCGACAAUUACAUACCCAACCAUGGGGCAGCAUCAAUUCAUGGAAGGCAAGUUGUUGCAUCUGGAGCACAUCAGAGGGAGCAAUAAAGUUUGUACUACUUGGUUCUUACCAUUAGGACAGUACAAGAUGUGCUAAUACGAGUUGAACAAUGUUAUGUAGUAGUAAGUUAAGGCAAAUUGUGUAGAUGAUGUAUUCUUGUGUAAGUAAAUGUUGUAUUCCCUGUGUACAUGAAGAUUAUGAAAAUUGUGUGCAUGCUACUA